UAAUUUGUGAGGAGUAGAGAUCCUCCGCAGUGGAAACAAGGAAACACUCAGCCUGAUCUCACGA
rnacentral:ncRNA from 1 species